rnacentral:rRNA from 1 species
UGAGGAAUAUUGGUCAAUGGGCGGAAGCCUGAACCAGCCAAGUAGCGUGAAGGAUGACUGCCCUAUGGGUUGUAAACUUCUUUUACAAGGGAAUAAUUGUGGGUACGCGUACCCGUUUGCAUGUACCUUAUGAAUAAGGAUCGGCUAACUCCGUGCCAGCAGCCGCGGUAAUACGGAGGAUCCGAGCGUUAUCCGGAUUUAUUGGGUUUAAAGGGAGCGUAGGCGGGCGCUUAAGUCAGCCGUGAAAGUUUGGGGCUCAACCUUAAAAUUGCAGUUGAUACUGGGUGCCUUGAGUGCAGUAUAGGCAGGCGGAAUUCGUGGUGUAGCGGUGAAAUGCUUAGAUAUCACGAAGAACUCCUAUUGCGAAGGCAGCUUGCUGGAGUGUAACUGACGCUGAUGCUCGAAAGUGUGGGUAUCAAACAGGAUUAGAUACCCUGGUAGUCCACACAGUAAACGAUGAAUACUCGCUGUUUGCGAUAUACUGCAAGCGGCCAAGCGAAAGCGUUAAGUAUUCCACCUGGGGAGUACGCCGGCAACGGUG